GAAGUACGAGGCAAUAACAGGUCUGUGACGCCCUUAGAUGUUCUGGGCCGCACGCGCGCUACACUGACAGAGCCAGCGAGUACAUCACCUUGGCCGAAAGGUCUGGGUAAUCUUGUGAAACUCUG
rnacentral:rRNA from 1 species